UACAGAGGGGGCAAGCGUUGUUCGGAAUUACUGGGCGUAAAGGGCUCGUAGGCGGCCGACUAAGUCAGACGUGAAAUCCCUCGGCUUAACCGGGGAACUGCGUCUGAUACUGGACGGCUUGAGUUCGGGAGAGGGAUGCGGAAUUCCAGGUGUAGCGGUGAAAUGCGUAGAUAUCUGGAGGAACACCGGUGGCGAAGGCGGCAUCCUGGACCGACACUGACGCUGAUGAGCGAAAGCCAGGGGAGCAAACGGG
rnacentral:rRNA from 1 species